ACGAACGCUGGCGGCAGGCUUAACACAUGCCGGUCGAACGCAUGCCUUCGGGCAUGAGUGGCAGACGGGUGAGUAACGCGUGGGAACCUACCCCUUGGUACGGGAUAGCUCCGGGAAACUGGAGAUAAUACCGUAUGUGUCCUGAGGGACAAAGAUUCAUCGCCAAGGGAUGGGCCCGCGUCGGAUUAGCUAGUUGGUGGGGUAACGGCCUACCAAGGCGACGAUCCGUAGCUGGUCUAAGAGGAUGAUCAGCCACAUUGGGACUGAGACACGGCCCAAACUCCUACGGGAGGCAGCAGUGGGGAAUAUUGGACAAUGGGCGCAAGCCUGAUCCAGCCAUGCCGCGUGAGUGAUGAAGGCCCUAGGGUUGUAAAGCUCUUUCACCGGUGACGAUAAUGACGGUAACCGGAGAAGAAGCCCCGGCUAACUUCGUG
rnacentral:rRNA from 1 species